rnacentral:rRNA from 1 species
UACAGAGGGUGCAAGCGUUGUUCGGAAUUAUUGGGCGUAAAGGGCGCGUAGGCGGCGCCACAAGUCACCUGUGAAAACUCUGGGCUCAACCCAGAGCCUGCAGGCGAAACUGUGGUGCUGGAGUAUGGGAGAGGUGCGUGGAAUUCCGGGUGUAGCGGUGGAAUGCGUAGAGAUCCGGAAGAACACCGGUGGCGAAGGCGGUCUGCUGGGCCAAGACUGACGCUGAGGCGCGACAGCGUGGGGAGCAAACAGG